AUCUGGCUUUUUACAAAACAAGUCUGGCCGGACAAUGGUGGCGCACGCCUUUAAUGCUAGCACUUGGGAGGCAGAGACAGGUGGAUUUCGGAAUUCGAGGCCAGCCUGGUCUACAGAUUGAGUUCCAGAACAGCCAAGGCUAUACUGAGAAACCCUGUCUCAAAAAAAAAAAAAAAAAAAAACCAUAAAAAACAAAACAAAACAAGUUUGUAGACAGUCACUCGGAGGGAAGAUCCCUGGACACCCUUCCUUCAGUGUGAGUUGGCAUGGUGAUGGUAAGCUCUUUCAUGUUUUCUUGUGAAGAACUGUCUCUCUUGUCUCAGUAUUAGAUGUGGGGCUGAAUCUGUUCACAGAAGCGCUGGCCUUUGCAGUCUGCUUCAUUCCACUUUGACCCGAAUUACCCAGAGAACAGGGAGCAGUGUGUUUUCUCUAAUUAGUAAUUAUCUGGGUGACUCUCAGUGCGAGCCACAUGGCCUGCCUGUCCUUUCAUCCAGAGGAAGAGGUUAGCGAAAUACCUUGGUGGCACGAAAACUAGACUUUUAAGUGUGAGAUUUUAUUAUUUUUUAUUAUUUCUCUUUACUUAGAUCUCUGUGAGAAUCAUGAUGUUUCCAAGGCAACACAUGGCUUGGGGGAAAUCGGAGAAUAUUCCCGAUGCAGAGGAUAACAUCCAGCUAAGCAGACAAUGCUAUCCACGCACAGAUGUUAUCGCUUCUAUCUACAUACAGCACAGUCGCAUUGGCUGUGAAUUGUACCGCGGUGCUGAUUUGUAAGCCCUCUUCUCUGCUUUCCUUUUGGUGCUGUGGUGUUUAAUGUGGUGCUUUGACGAAACUCAGACCUAGAGCUAUUUGCUGCACAUGGGCAGACAGCAGAAAGGAACCCAGUGGUCUCAGGAGGGGGUCUUGGGGGUAUGGGAAGGGAGAGUAGACCCUCAACUGUGGUGUUUAGCAGACGAGGGAGGCUGGGGCCACACAUGAGCUUUAUGGGGCCUGAUCUCUGGUCUUUUACUCUGAGCAUCACAAGCGACCCCCUUACCAUCUGUAGACUUUACUGCUCGGAUCUGUGAGAUGAAGAUUCUCUAGGUGUGAACCUCCUCGGGUCCUUACAAGUGAUGAAUUAGGUUAUUUGUCUUAAUAAACAUUUUCUGUUAUUAGAAAUUGAAAGCUAG
rnacentral:lncRNA from 1 species